rnacentral:rRNA from 1 species
AACGAACGCUGGCGGCGUGCUUAACACAUGCAAGUCGAACGAGAAAAUGUAGCAAUACAUGAGUAAAGUGGCGCACGGGUCCGUAACACGUGGGUAAUCUACCCUUAGGCGAGGGACAACCUGUCGAAAGACGGGCUAAUACCUCGUAAGACCACGGAAUCUUAGGAUUCUGAGGUAAAAGGUGGCCUCUAUUUAUAAGCUAUCACCUGAGGAUGAGCCUGCGCACCAUCAGCUUGUUGGUGAGGUAAAAGCUCACCAAGGCCUAGACGGUUAGCUGGUCUGAGAGGACGACCAGCGACACUGGAACUGAGACACGGUCCAGACUCCUACGGGAGGCAGCAGUGGGGAAUUUUGGACAAUGGGCGAAAGCCUGAUCCAGCAACGCCGCGUGAGUGAUGAAGGCCUUCGGGUUGUAAAGCUCUGUCGGAGGGAACGAAUAAAGGCCACCUAAUACGUGGCCAUAUGACGGUACUCUCAAAGGAAGCAACGGCUAACUCUGUGCCAGCAGCCGCAGUAAUAC